GUGCGCCCUGGGCCUCUGCGUCUGUCCUCUCAGUGUCCAACGUUGCCUCGUGGAGGCCGCCGUGGGGAGCAAAUGUCUAACGGAAAUCAGAGGUGGAAAGAGGUUGGAGGAGCCUGCUCCGUUCCACUCGCUUUUACUGAUGCGCCCAGCAGCAGCCACGCUUGGGGCUGGGGGCUUUGAGGACACGCACCUGACCAAGGUUUGUGUAAAGUCAAACCUCAGAAGAGCGAGCAUGAGGAGAGAGCUGCAAAUGAUACGCGACUUUUCAACUCACACUUUCGCCGAAGAGACUUUUGAAAGAACCAUGAGGUUCAAGUUAUUUUUCAUGCAUUUGUGUUUCCUUUCCAGGCCUUGGGCUGAGCUGAUUCUCAGCUUUAUUUGCUGGCAUGGUGCAAAUAGUCAAGGUGUUACUUCCAGCCCAUUGGGGUGUAGGUUAACCUCCUUUUUCCACCUUACCUGUCCCUAGAUCUUCUGUUUCCAAGGCCAAGUCUUUAAAGGGUUUUCAGUCCCUCUAGCAAAGUAAUGGGUAGGGAGGCUUAUCGUGAGGGACCACAUUUCCCCUACCCAUUCCAAACUCAAAGGUUUGCCUAGCUUUACCUGCUAAAAGGUGAUGACAGAUUUUGACUCUGGGAUUCACUAAGGCCUCUACCACAGUUUUCUCUAGAAACAAGUAGAAGAGAAUGCAGAGGGUUGAAACCUACCCAAAAUAUCAGUCAGAGACUCUGAGCUUCAAAGACCUUCCCUUGUUUCCCCCAAUGUAAUUUAUAUAGGGUUGGACCCUUAGUCCUCAAGCUGUCAUCUUUAUCUCCUCCACGUAAGCCUACCUUGGCUGGGAAAAAAAUAGCAUUCAAAGGGCACUGGGAACAAUUUUAAAUGGUGCAUCUAAGGAAUGCCAAGUUCUGGUCCUCUUGGAGUUGGAUUAAAAUUGUUAACACUUUCACAUUCAAGGACUGCUUACAACUACUACAGACCCUAUUAUCUGUUCUUCUGAAUUAGCAUUAAAACAAAUAGCACAAUAUAACUAGAAAUGAGUAUUCUAUAGAUGUAUAACAUAGGUUUUUCUUAUUGAAUGGUGCUACUUAUUUUAACAACCAGGCUGCCUUAAAUAUGGAGAUCCAUGUGGAUUAAGACUGUAUACAAGCUUUCUCUUUAGGGCACCAGGGGAAAGUAAAAAAAGAACCACAUUUGAAUUCUGCUUUGUCACUACAAGUGGGUGACCAUGAGCAAGUUACUAACCUCAGUGAACCUGUUCCUAACCUGAAAAGGAGGAGAAUGGAGAGCAGGUAAUAAUACCUUAUGAGAUGGUUGUGAGAGUUAAAUAGCAUUCUUUAUGUCAUAGUCCUAGCAAAGUGCUGGCAUGGAAUAGAUACUCCCUAAAUGUUAACUACCUACCUUCCCUUCCCUUUCUGUCAGACUUUUUCUACUAUUCUUAUGAAAUAAUAAAGAGUUUUUGUAAUUAAAUAU